rnacentral:rRNA from 1 species
AGAGUUUGAUCAUGGCUCAGAUUGAACGCUGGCGGAAUGCUUUACACAUGCAAGUCGAACGGCAGCACGGGGGCUUGCUCCUGGUGGCGAGUGGCGAACGGGUGAGUAAUGCGUCGGAACGUACCGAGUAAUGGGGGAUAACGCAGCGAAAGCUGUGCUAAUACCGCAUACGCCCUGAGGGGGAAAGCAGGGGAUCGCAAGACCUUGCGUUAUUCGAGCGGUCGACGUCUGAUUAGCUAGUUGGUGGGGUAAAGGCCUACCAAGGCGACGAUCAGUAGCGGGUCUGAGAGGAUGAUCCGCUACACUGGAACUGAAACACGGUCCAGACUCCUACGGGAGGCAGCAGUGGGGAAUUUUGGACAAUGGGGGAAACCCUGAUCCAGCCAUUCCGCGUGAGUGAAGAAGGCCUUCGGGUUGUAAAGCUCUUUCAGCUGGAAAGAAACGGUGCGCUCUAACAUAGCGUGCUAAUGACGGUAUCAGCAGAAGAAGCACCGGCUAACUACGUGCCAGCAGCCGCGGUAAUACGUAGGGUGCGAGCGUUAAUCGGAAUUACUGGGCGUAAAGCGUGCGCAGGCGGAUUGUUUAAGCAAGAUGUGAAAUCCCCCGGGCUUAACUGGGAAUGGCAUUUUUGAACUGGCAGUCUAGAGUGUGUCAGAGGGGGGUGGAAUUCCACGUGUAGCAGUGAAAUGCGUAGAUAUGUGGAGGAACACCUAUGGCGAAGGCUGCCCCCUGGGAUAACACUGACGCUCAUGUACGAAAGCGUGGGU